GCUACCGCGGUGCCAGCAGAGGGGGAAAGACGGAGGGUGCAAGCGUUAAUAGGAAUUACUGGGCGGAAAGCGUGCGCAGGCGGCUAUGCAAGACAGAUGUGAAAUCCCCGGGCUCAACCUGGGAACUGCAGUUGUGACUGCAUGGCUAGAGUGCGGCAGAGGGGGAUGGAAUUCCGCGUGUAGCAGUGAAAUGCGUAGAUAUGCGGAGGAACACCGAUGGCGAAGGCAAUCCCCUGGGCCUGCACUGACGCUCAUGCACGAAAGCGUGGGGAGCAAACAGGAUUAGAUACCCCUGUAGUC
rnacentral:rRNA from 1 species